rnacentral:rRNA from 1 species
CCCUGAGGGGGAAGNUGGGGGAUCGCAAGACCUCACGUUAUUGGAGCGGCCGAUGGCUGAUUAGCUAGUUGGUAGGGUAAAGGCCUACCAAGGCGACGAUCAGUAGCUGGUCUGAGAGGACGAUCAGCCACACUGGGACUGAGACACGGCCCAGACUCCUACGGGAGGCAGCAGUGGGGAAUUUUGGACAAUGGGGGAAACCCUGAUCCAGCAAUGCCGCGUGUGCGAAGAAGGCCUUCGGGUUGUAAAGCACUUUUGUCAGGGAAGAAAUCCUUUGGGCUAAUACCCUAGGGGGAUGACGGUACCUGAAGAAUAAGCACCGGCUAACUACGUGCCAGCAGCCGCGGUAAUACGUAGGGUGCAAGCGUUAAUCGGAAUUACUGGGCGUAAAGCGUGCGCAGGCGGUUGUGUAAGACAGGUGUGAAAUCCCCGGGCUUAACCUGGGAAUUGCAUUUGUGACUGCACGACUAGAGUGUGUCAGAGGGGGGUGGAAUUCCACGUGUAGCAGUGAAAUGCGUAGAUAUGUGGAGGAACACCAAUGGCGAAGGCA